rnacentral:rRNA from 1 species
UACGGGGGGGGGUAAGCGUUGUUCGGAAUUACUGGGCGUAAAGGGCUCGUAGGCGGCCAACUAAGUCAGACGUGAAAUCCCUCAGCUUAACUGGGGAACUGCGUCUGAUACUGGAUGGCUUGGAUCCGGGAGAGGGAUGCGGAAUUCCAGGUGUAGCGGUGAAAUGCGUAGAUAUCUGGAGGAACACCGGUGGCGAAGGCGGCAUCCUGGACCGGUAUUGACGCUGAGGCGCGAAAGCCAGGGGAGCAAAGCGGG